rnacentral:rRNA from 1 species
UACGGGGGGAGCAAGCGUUGUUCGGAUUUACUGGGCGUAAAGGGCGCGUAGGCGGCCACCGCAAGUCGGUUGUGAAAUCUCUGGGCUUAACCCAGAAAGGUCAACCGAUACUGCGGGGCUAGAGUGCAGAAGGGGCAACUGGAAUUCUCGGUGUAGCGGUGAAAUGCGUAGAUAUCGAGAGGAACACCUGCGGCGAAGGCGGGUUGCUGGGCUGACACUGACGCUGAAGCGCGAAAGCAUGGGGAGCAAACAGG